AAAAUUGGAAUCUAUAAUAGUAGAUGGAUUCGUAAUCCAAUACACUCUUCCCUACACUUUUUAAUUUCGCAUUUUACAAGUUUUCGUAUAAUAAAUUAGAAUAAUUAAAAAUCAUGAUUCUCCUUUGUUUGUUUACUUUGAAUCUAAUUAGACAGUAGUAUACCCUAUUAAAUUUUAUUACUCGUGGGACGAUACUCUCAACUCACUCAAAUCUAUUACUUGUCAGCGAUCUCAUACGCUUGUGGGUUUCACUUGAACAACCGGACAUUGAUCUUGACUGUGUAUAUAUACUUCAUAGAGGAGUCUUGACUGUGUUCUAGAAUUGAUUACCAAAGGUCUUGAGAUCAACUUUCAAUCACGGAGGGGGCCAAAGGCCCAUGGCUAAAGUUUUUACCCAGAGAGGGAUUACAGAUUUUAGUCAGACGGUACAUUUUUUGUGGAUUACAUGUGGUGUGAGAGAUGAUAUCAUGAAUUUGAAUUGAGGAUUAUGUCAUGACUAGCAGAUUAUAUAUUUCAGCAUUAUGAAGAUGUCCUCCAUCUUGAUUAUUAUUACUAUAUGCAAAUUGUGAGCUGUUAAUUGACGUAAACUUGAUUUUUGAUAAAAAUGUAUACAUAAAAAAAUAUAUUUAUUUUUGAAUUUUUCCACUCACUUAGCUAUCAACUCAUUUACUUCUCCAGAAUUUUCUUAUCAAGUAGCAGUUCAGUUUCUCGACAUCUUUUGGAGUUGAACCUUUGAUUUUGGAGUUAGAACCAUACGACAGAGUUUACUAGUAUGACUCACUUCAUAGAGUAGGUGCCAUGUAGUCAGUGUUUCAAAACGCAUGUUCAUGUUUAAAUGUGAUUUUGAACCACUUAUUGAUAGUUAUGGUGCUUACUGUGUAUUUUGUAUCCAUAUG
rnacentral:lncRNA from 1 species